rnacentral:rRNA from 1 species
UACGUAGGGUGCGAGCGUUGUCCGGAAUUACUGGGCGUAAAGAGCUCGUAGGUGGUUUGUCGCGUUGUUCGUGAAAACUCACAACUCAAUUGUGGGCGUGCGGGCGAUACGGGCAGACUGGAGUACUGCAGGGGAGACUGGAAUUCCUGGUGUAGCGGUGGAAUGCGCAGAUAUCAGGAGGAACACCGGUGGCGAAGGCGGCUCUCUGGGACGGUACUGACGGCUGAGACGCAAAGCGUGGGGAGCGAACAGG